UCUUGUUGGCCCCACCAAACUGUGUACUGGCAGGACUAAAGACCUCUGGGACUUGUAGUUCUUCCAAGGGCUUCUUCAGGAUUGUGUGGAGCUUGUUGGCUAGGAGUCUUGAGCCGCCCAAAUCCAGCUCUGCAACAGGAAAGCAAAGAUCAAGGUGGUAAGGAGCAGGCAAACUUAAGAAGAGUUUGAGGCUCUCUGCCCUACUUUAGCCUCAUAACAACCCUGCAAGUUUGGCUCCAUUUCUUCAUUCUGCUGGCUUGACUUUUCUUCUGAUCUCCUAAGACAUCAACGGAAACUUGAUCAUAGAGGAAAGUCUAUUGACACGUCAACUUCCAUCUGCAAACACGUGUAACAUUUGGAAAACCUCAAGAAAAUGAUGGUUAUUAAGCGUGUGAUCAACAACAUCUACUGGUUCUACUGGCAAUUUCAGCUGGUCACAAUGACUUAUCUCAUGGAUCCUUUUGAAUGGUGGGUCUUCCACAGUUUUCUCCUUGUUACAUUUAUGCUGUCGGCAUACAUUUUUUAUGCUGUUGUUCCCCCUCAGAUUCACCUGGUUCUGGGGCAUGUUCGUCAUUUAUUUGGCUUGCAGCCAGGAAGUACCAUUUCAGCUGUGAUGUGAACUUGUCAUCAAUAACAUUGACUGGGAUUUUUUUUCUCCUGACAUGUUUUACAUGUUUUUAAGCGUUGUGAGUAUAACCAGUGGAGACUCUGGAAUCUAUAGAAACAUGUGAACAUUUUUAUUCUUUGAAAAAAGCUUCAACGAAGCCACCAUGGUUACUUCCUUCUUACACCACUUACUGACUGUCUCUACUUGUUUGGAAAAAAAAGGUGAGUGGAAUGUUAUGUGAAAAUUUUACCUUUUUCAGAUGAAGUGUUCUCUUCAAGUUCUUGUUCUGGAAUAAGUUCCCUGGGAUGUUCAUUUGUUAUCAAAAUUCUGUCUCACAACACAAUUGUUAUUGAAAUGUUUUUCCAAUUCAUUAUGUAGAAGUUUUCUGUGACAGACUGUCAAAAGUAAAUAAAAAGUGGAAGAAAGCAGAACGAGAAAGAAGAAUGUUUUUUGUAGCAUACCUUUAUUACCUUGUAGAAAUUCUGGGAAUUAACUCCAGAAUGUUGUGUCACACCAUAAACCUAAUUCAGAUUUAAGCUCUGUUCUAUACAUGCUUAUUUGUGAGAAAUCAUCAUAAAAUUUAAUGUGACUUAUGGUCUGAAUAAAUCUGUAUAGGACUGCACAAUUAUUUACACUUUGUUGUACAUAAUUACUUGUUUAGCUACAUGCUCAUCUAUGUGAAAUGCAUCUGUCAAAUCCUUCAGUGACGAUCAGAGGCACAAUAUACAUUCCUAAACAGAGAUGUGUAGUUCAGGUUAUCUGGUAUUUAUCUGAUAUCCCAACGUUUUCCAGGUUGUCCACAAGAAAAGAAAUGGAACCAUGAUGGAUUAAUUUAUCCAAGCCUUUUGACUAUAGUUUUUUGUGGGAUUUUCGGGCUACGUGGCCA